AAUUAUGGUGGACUGAGCGGGGCUGACUUCGGUCAGGCCGUUUCCUUUUGGGCGGUAAGUUCCUAACCCCAAUCAGUUCACCACCCUA
rnacentral:antisense_RNA from 1 species